AACGUAGGGGACAAGCGUUAUCCGGAUUUACUGGGCGUAAAGCGCCCGUAGGCGGCCUGACAAGUUGGACGUGAAAGCUCCUGGCUUAACUGGGAGAGGCCGAUCAAAACUGUCAAGCUAGAGUCUGGAAGAGGAGAGCGGAAUUCCCGGUGUAGUGGUGGAAUGCGUAGAGAUCGGGAGGAACACCAGUGGCGAAAGCGGCUCUCUGGUCCAAAACUGACGCUGAGGGGCGAAAGCGUGGGGAGCGAACGGG
rnacentral:rRNA from 1 species